UACAUAGGGCGCAAGCGUUGUCCGGAAUUAUUGGGCGUAAAGGGCGCGUAGGCGGCUUCGCAAGUGGAAGGUGAAAUCCCUCGGCUUAACCGAGGAACUGCCCUCCAAACUGCGUUGCUUGAGGCCGGGAGAGGUGAGUGGAAUUCCCAGUGUAGCGGUGAAAUGCGUAGAUAUCAGGAGGAACACCUGCGGUGUAGACGGCUUUCUGGACCAUUGCUGACGCUGAGACACGAAAGCGUGGGUAGCAAACAGG
rnacentral:rRNA from 1 species